GGGUAGAGCUCAGUGGUAGAGUGCAUGCUUAGUAGGCACGAGAUCCUGGGCUCGAUUCCCAGUACCUCCA
rnacentral:tRNA from 1 species